GGAGCUGCUCAGAUGCAUACGAAACAAUUAGACUGUGAAAGCCUCCUUAAAGAUGAAAGAACAAACAGACUGACUUUUGUAGGAGUGGCAAGAAUUUCACGAUCGGAUGGCUUGUCACCAGGCUGUGAGUGUCAUGUUCCUGGGGACUAGAGGAACAGGAGGGGCCCUAGCAGGUUUCAGUGUGAGGAAAUGUGCAAUCCAUGCUCUCAGGGACCUCCCUAGCAUGCAGAGUCCCUGAGGUAACGUUUGCAAAGCCUUUGAGCUCCUGCGAAGAGGGGUUCCAGAAACACGAGGCAGUUGUCAAAACAUCUGGAUGGAUCCAGACUGGUUACCUGCUAGUCUUGAUGCAAAAUGGCAUCGGCUCUAAAGCACUGAGGUCUACAGAGGAGACGGAAACUAACGGGUUCGCUGGUAUGAAUGUCAAGACGCAGAAGCCCUGUCUUCUAAAAACACAGUCAUCCCCAGUUCCCCAGAUAAUGGUCCUCCUAGUAUUUGCAGAGUCGUGAUGUCUGUGACAGGCCCUUUACUAAGGCCUGCCAUCCCCGUAAGUCUGUGUGCCGAAGACUGAUGGAGGCAUGAAGGGCUUUUGAGCCACAGGCAUCUCUGUGAAGAGGAAUAAAUGUAGAUACCCACAGCCACGCAAGCCAGCCUUGGCUCAGUCUCCUCUCUCAUUUCAGCUGCCUUUGCAAACUGUGAGGAACAGGACUGAGCCAGUCUUAAUCCUGAGACUUGGUUAGCUUUAACUGUCCACCUGAUGAGUCUAGAGUCAUCUGAGAAGGACAAUUGAGGAGUUGUCUGGAUCUUACUAGCCUGUGGACAUGUGGGGGGUUCUUGAAUGCUAAUUGAUACGAUACGGGAGGGCCCUGUCCACUGAGGGUGGCACCAUUCCCUGGGAACGGUGGUCCUGCACUGUAUAAGAAAGACAACAAGGAGCCUGCAAUGGAACCAGCAAGUAGCAUUUUCCACCAUGGUUUCUUCUUCGUGUUCCUCUCUGACUUCCCUCACUGCUGGACUCUCAGUAACCUUUAGAAAUAAACCCAUUUCUCCCCUUUU